GUAAUUAAUCUAAAUAUAAAAUUUUUUAAAUGUAAAGAAGCUGUAGGUUAUAUUGUAUGUAUAUUUUAUUUCACAAAAUAAUUAGUUGUUCUUAACCUUUUAAAUACUUAAACUUUAAAAUAAAGGUAAAAUCCAUAUUUUUAUAAGCUCUUCAAUAGACCUUACGAGAAAUGGUUAAAAAAUACUAUGAAUCACAGAUAAAUUAAGAGAAAAAUGAAAAUUUAAUUUUGGAAAAGGACCAAACUAAUGAUUUUCUAUUUAAAAAUUCUCACCUUCCCACAAAAUAGUACUGUAUAAGCAAAAAUACUCUAACUUUUCCAAGAAAGGUAUUAUGGUAAUUAACUGCCAUAAUAAUAAUUAAGUGGUCUUUCAUUGAGGGAUAAAAUUUGUUCUUAAGGGUUUACUUUUGCUUGCAUUAUCAUUGCUUUGGUUUUUAUCAGUUCCCUUCUACACAGAAUAGCUCCAAAGUAAGCUUAUAUUUCCCUGAAUGGAAUUCCUGGAAAUGAAGUGACUUAUUUCCCUGAAACAACUACUCAGAAAAUUUAUAUAAAUCUAUAUAGUAUAUUUCAACUUCUUUUGCUCCAUUUUGUUGUGAUCAGCAGAAUUUAAUAUUUUGCCUCCUAUGCCAGGAAAAAAGAAACCACAAACACAACACACAGUGCAGAGCAUCAUAUGAACAUAUUUUUUCUUAUGAUGCUGACAAAAAUUCUCAUUUUAUGUUUUCCCUGAAAAGCUGCACUUAAAAGUGAUUCAGGAAAUAUGUGUUAUUACCCUUUUUCAGCCUUUUCCAUGAGUAAGUCAUUCUUUUUCUCAUUUCUUUCAGUAAGUUUACUCACUGACAUAUUCUCCUGAAUACUCAGUCUACACACUUGGUGCUUGCAUUACAAAAGGUGGAGGGUGGAAAUUGUGCAAUAUUUCAGCUCCAGAGAGUUAAACAAUUUCUUUCCAGAAUUAUGGAGACCUAUGAAUAUUGACUUUUGAUUUUAUAGGGCAAAAAAUUAAUUCCUUCACCAUCAUUCAUCUUCUAGUUAGAAAAAUAAUUUUUGCAUUACAUACAAAUUGAAGAGGAAAAUUUGCCUCCCACAGAUGUCAGUAGCCCAUUUGCCAUGCAGCUCAGUAAUUUCAAAAUAGAUUACUGCUUGAUGCAUUUUUUUCCCCUCAGGAUUUCUCGUUCUCAGUUUGUUUUUAAAUUUAAUGCAUGAUAAAUUCACAAAAAAAAAAUUAUUUCUUGCUCUUAGUUACUGAGAGACUUUGCAUAAAAAACUCAUGUUGCCAGCACUGGACUAGAAAAUCUUUUUACCUCUAAACUGUCCACACCUAAAUUUUGGUAUUUUUUGUAAACAGGAGUGAAAUUUCUGCCUGAUUAAUGUAUACUGAUGGAUCCAGUCUAUUGCUAUAGACCUUACCUACAUUUUUAUUCUCAGCACUCUAUAAACUAAUACAAAAAGAAAGCCCAACUAUAUUUUUCUUAAAUUUCAAACCUCAAGUUGCAGCUGAGGGUCAACCCAGAUGUUUUUGCAAGCCAGAUAUUUACUUUAAGUUUUUCAUGUAAUAACCCUCUAUAAUCAAUGCAACUCCAGGAGGCAAUUUCACCCAUCAUAAGUCAACUGACAGAAAUAAAUGGACUAAACAACCCUCCACAAGUAUUGCUGGGAUUCACUGAGUGCAGAGUGAGCCUAGCUAGCAUAAACCAAGCAUCAAACUGUAGGUAAUAAAAAUAAGGUAAAAGAUCUCUCAUCCUAAGUUUUGGAGGGUUUUCUGGUGUAAAAUUGCAAUAAAUUAUUAUUAGUUUUUGUAGGAUAAAAUGGUAAAUACUCAUGGACAUCUACAAAAUUUUAUCCUUUUUACUUCUAAUAUUUCCAAUCAUUAUUUUGUAUUAGCUUUCCCAACAAUCAGUUUUGGUUUUAAUUCUGUUAAUGAAUACAGACAAUGGAAAAAAUUAUUUUCAAUUUCCAUCUUUUCUUGACUAAUGUCUCACCUUAACCUCCUCUAUACAAAUAAGUAUGGCAAAGCUUAACUUAGUGUGCAGAUUUAUAUUUUAUGUGUCACCACUCCCUUGAACUCUCUGUUCUCUCCACUCCAGGUUCACAAUGGAGCACCUGGACUCUGCAGUGACUCUCCCUUCUCCCUGAACAAAUGUCUGCCAUCAUUCAAGUACAAGCAGUACAUAUUACAAGGCCCAGGAACCGGACAUGCCUAACAGCUAUGGGAUUACCAAAUGCACAACACAUUUGUGCUGCCUGAGGAGUCACCAGAGGAAAAGUCAUGUUCAGUUCUGCUAUCAACAUCCAGAGAUAUUGAAAAGGAAAAUUAUUCAGAAAGUGAUUGAGCUGGAGUCAGUCAAAAGACGAAGACUUGUCAAAACAGCCCUAGCCCUACACCAUCAAUAUUGUCAACCUUGUUCAUUUAUCUAAGAGGUAAUAUAACUACAUUAUAGAGGGAUCUAUACAAAGAUGAAAAUAUCUAUCACAUGAAGGCAUAAAUGCAUCAAAUUUUCAUGGAACACAAUUAGACAAAGUUGAACUGUUGAAUAUAGGUUACUACUGAGAACAAGAGAUGGCUCUGUUAUGGUAUUACAAUCCACCCACUGAAAGUCUACUUUAGAAUACCUGCAAAUUCUGGCCCUGAUGUAGAUACUGUGUUCAUAGAUGACUUUAUAAGAGCUAUAAAAAAAAUCUCUAUUCAAUUUAUUAACCCCUAUUGAUGUACUAUAGACAGUGUAAAUACUAUUACCAAGGAAAUGUAAACAGUUGGGUAUUACUGCCAUUAUAAAGAAAAACUUGAAGUCAGGAGCAGUGUUCCUUCCAAUACUUCAGUAAUAUGAUUACAUACAAAAUAUCUGGAAAAGAGAAGGGAUAAAAUCAACACUCAAUUUUAGCAAGAAAAUGUUAUAUAAUUACUGAAGUUAAUGUCCUUUCCUUGAAAAGUUUAAGUUGCAGAACAAUUAAAAACACAUGUUUACUUGAAAGCCUUUUGUGAAGGAUGUUUAGCUGCAGCAUGAAAUCACUAUAUAUGUGAAUGUAAAAUCUCCCAUUCUGCUAAAUGCCAUUCAAAUCAACAUUAAAAUUGUUAUGAACAAAACAGCCUGGCUGGGACACUUGGCUCCAACUCUGUACUGACAUUGAAAUGUUAAUUAGCUAAUUGCUCCUGGGAAUCACCUACAACCCCACCCACACUAAGACUGGAAUGCAAAAUAAUCCAGUGGAAUCAUGGGAGGGGGUUUUGGGGAUGAAAAACACCCCUAAAAUGGAAGGCUGGGCACAGUGGAGGGGGCUGGAUGGAUGUGCUGGUUGAAGAAAAGGGAACCUCAUCCUUAGUCUGUG